UUUAAUUAUAUAUAGAUAACAAAUAAUUAAACUUAUGAAUGAGUAUUAAUAAAUUAUUCUGUAAUUCUGUUCAGCCCCUCAAAUGUAUACUUACUUCUAUUAUAUGGUUUAAGAAACCAACAAAAAAUAUAGCUAAAUUAGCAGUAGCUAAAUUAGCAGCCAUGGCAAUGUGAGUUCCCAUGAGAUCUUAAUGGGAAAGGAAAACCAGUCGGUUCAUCCUCAAUGACACUAUUUAUUUAUAAAACAACCUCUAGAACUGAAUGCAUGCUCUUCUUCUUCUUUCUUCCUCUUGCCCUCUUCUCCUUGUUAAUUUCAUUUAACCUGACAUUUCUUUGAAUUUUUCUUUUUCAACAAAGCAACUAAUCUAGGGCCUAGAAACUAACUAGACAGAGGAUAAAAACCUAUGAUAAUGUAGCAGAAAAUAUUUUAACAAAAAUAUAAUACAAUCUAACUCCCAAUUGUAUUUUUUACUUCCCAUUAACCAGAAACACACAAACACAAACUAUAUUACUCCAAAUAAGCAACAUCAUCAUCUGUUCAUCUCUAGGCAGAAAAGUUACCCUCAAUUAUCCCUUUUCCCCAAUAUUUUGCUGAAUCACUUAAUUAGCCAGAUAUACUAGUUGCAAAUAUCAAAAUCCAUAAGAUAUUCCAUCCCCCAAAAUCAAAACAUUAUUUCUUAAUAUAAGAAUCAUAGGCAAUCCAGUGAAUUUAACAUCAAAGGAAAAAAAGAAUGAAGGAACGGAAUAGAUCUACAGGAAGGAAUCUUCAAGUCCUUAAUUCAGUUAAUAUAUCAGUUAAUAAAUCACGCACACAACAACCACUUGAUCUCAAACACCCCUUUAACGAAACCACAGCAAUGCUUGAUCAAUAAAGGACACUCAAACCUACCCAAACAUUAUACUUUCUCAUCAAGUUAUCCAUAAUCUGCAGUACAGCUCUAUCACAACAUCAAAUUCUUCUAGCAUUCUAAACAAAAGCUAGUCAAAUUCCCUACGAUUUCACGUUGAUAUCACAUAUUCACCAAAUUUCAACAAUAUACCAUCUGAAAAUACAACAAUCAACAGAUAUUCCGAUAUUCCGAAAUUGGAGACAGGUUUAAGUGAAACUGAAGUUACCCCAUGAGAUUUACACGCAAG
rnacentral:misc_RNA from 1 species